rnacentral:rRNA from 1 species
AGAGCGAACGCUGGCGGCAGGCCUAAUACAUGCAAGUCGAACGGAUCCUUCGGGAUUAGUGGCGGACGGGUGAGUAACACGUGGGAACGUGCCUUUGGUUCGGAACAACUCAGGGAAACUUGAGCUAAUACCGAAUGUGCCCUUCGGGGGAAAGAUUUAUCGCCAUUAGAGCGGCCCGCGCCUGAUUAGCUAGUUGGUGGGGUAAUGGCCCACCAAGGCUACGAUCAGUAGCUGGUCUGAGAGGAUGAUCAGCCACACUGGGACUGAGACACGGCCCAGACUCCUACGGGAGGCAGCAGUAGGGAAUCUUGCGCAAUGGGCGAAAGCCUGACGCAGCCAUGCCGCGUGAAUGAUGAAGGUCUUAGGAUUGUAAAAUUCUUUCAGCGGGGACGAUAAUGACGGUACCCGCAGAAGAAGCCCGGCUAACUUCGUGCCAGCAGCCGC